rnacentral:rRNA from 1 species
CUGGCGGCGUGCCUAAUACAUGCAAGUCGAACGAACUGUGGAAAGCUUGCUUUCAGAGUUAGUGGCGAACGGGUGAGUAACACGUAAGUAACCUAGCUAUUAGACGAGGAUAACUACUGGAAACGGUAGCUAAGACUGGAUAUGAUAGAAAUAUUUAAAGGAUGCUAAGGCAUCGCUAAUAGAGGGGCUUGCGGCGCAUUAGCUAGUUGGUAGGGUAAAGCCAACCCAGGCGAUGAUGCGUAGCCGACCUGAGAGGGUGACCGGCCACACUGGGACUGAGACACGGCCCAGACUCCUACGGGAGGCAGCAGUAGGGAAUCUUCGGCAAUGGACGAAAGUCUGACCGAGCAACGCCGCGUGAAGUGAAGAAAGUUUUCGGAUUGUAAAGCUCUGUUAUUAGGGAAGAAAGGCUCUAGGAGGAAAUGCUUAGGGAUUGACGGUACCUAAUGAGGAAGCCACGGCUAACUACGUGCCAGCAGCUGC